rnacentral:misc_RNA from 1 species
AAGUCGUAACAAGGUUUCCGUAGGUGAACCUGCGGAAGGAUCAUUAACACGCGUAAUCUCUAACGAUUACAAACCAAACUCGUGAACUUUGUAUCAUUCAAACCGCGAUUAGUAGGCCGCUUCAGUUAUGCAAGGAGUGUUUCGAAUACUGUGACUCCUUGUGUGAUUGAGGUGCUAUGGACUAUUGGCCGCGGUAUACAAGUCUUAAAAAUAAACUCACUCAGUGCUCAUAUAUACCCCUUUUUUGAAUUUCUAUAGUAACAUCUGAUCUUCCACAGUCAUGAGUCGAAAGGCUCGCUUGACUGCACUGGAUCGUUAAUUCUUACGAAACAGUAAAAGUACAACUUUAAGCAGUGGAUAUCUAGGUUCCCAU